rnacentral:rRNA from 1 species
GGGUUGUGAGGUUAAGCGACUAAGCGUACACGGUGGAUGCCCUGGCAGUCAGAGGCGAUGAAGGACGUGCUAAUCUGCGAAAAGCGUCGGUAAGGUGAUAUGAACCGUUAUAACCGGCGAUGUCCGAAUGGGGAAACCCAGUGCAAUUCGUUGCACUAUCGUUAACUGAAUACAUAGGUUAACGAGGCGAACCGGGGGAACUGAAACAUCUAAGUACCCCGAGGAAAAGAAA